GUUUAGGAUUUGAUUUAGGGUUUAGUAUUUGUCUAGAGUUUGGUUUAGGAUUUAGGAUUUUUCUAGGAUUUAGUUUAGAAUUUAUGAUUUGUCUAAGUUUUGAUUUAAGAUUUGGUUUAAGAACUAGGAUUUGAAUUAAGAUUUGAUUUAGGAUUUAGGAUUUGUCUAGGAUUAUUCUAGGAUUUGAUUUAAGAUUUGAUUUAGGAUCUAAGAUUUGAUCUAAGGUUUGGUUUAGGAUUAGGUUUUUUUUUAAGAUUUGAUUUAGAAUUUGAUUUAAGAUUUAAGAUUUGUCUAAGAUUUGAUUGAAGUCCAUUAGGAUUUUAACUAGGGUUAAAUUAGAACUUAAUUGAGAUUUAUUUAAGAUAUAUUUGUGAUUAUUCUAAUAUUUUUUAAGGCUUCUUAAGGAUUCUUUUAAGGUUUAUUAAAGAUUUUCUUUCAACUCGUUUAAGUUUUCUUAUUGUUUUUUUGGUA
rnacentral:lncRNA from 1 species